rnacentral:rRNA from 1 species
CGCGUAAGAUACUGCUGGGCUAGAGGAUGGGAGAGGUCGACGGUAGUCUUGGGGUAGGGGUGAAAUCCUGAUAAUCCCAGGAGGACCACCAGUGGCGAAGGCGGUCGACUAGAACAUGCCUGACAGUGAGGGACGAAAGCUGGGGGAGCGAACCGGAUUAGACACCCGGGUAGUCCCAGCUGUAAACGAUGCUGGCUAGGUGUUGGAACAGCUACGAGCUGCUCCAGUGCCGCAGAGAAGUCGUUAAGCCAGCCGCCUGGGAAGUACGGUCGCAAGACUGAAACUUAAAGGAGUUGGCGGGGGAGCACCACAAGGGGUGAAGGCUGCGGUUCAAUUGGAGUCAACGCCGGGAAACUUACCGGGACUGACAGCAGGGUGAAGGUCAGGCUAAAGGUCUUACUAGACAAGCUGAGAGGAGGCGCAUGGCCGUCGCCAGUUCGUGCCGUGAGGUGUCCAGUUAAGUCAGGCAACGAACGAGACCCUACUGCUAGUUGCCAGCGGGUUCCAAUGGGAUGCCGGGCACACUAGUGGAACUGCCGCCGAUAAGGCGGAGGAAGGAGGGGGUACGGCAGGUCAGUAUGCCCCGAAUGCCCCGGGCCACACGCGGCUGCAAUGGUAGGGACAGAGAGUUCCAACCUCGAAAGGGGAAGGCAAUCCCUAAACCCUACCUCAGUUGGGACUGAGGGCUGAAACUCGCCCUCAUGA